AAUCUCAGCACUUUGGGAGGCCAAGGCGGGUGGAUCACCUGAGGUCAGGAGUUGGAGACCAGCCUGGCCAACAUGGUGAAACCCUGUCUCCACUAAAAAUACAAAAGUUAGCCGGGCGUGGUGGUGGGCACCUGUAAUCCCAGCUACUCAGGAGGCUGCAGCAGGAGAACCGCUUGAACCCGGGAGACGGAAGUUGCAGUGAUCCGAGAUCAUGCGACUGCACUUCAGCCUGGGCAAGAGAGUGAGACUCUAUCUCAAUAUUUUUUUAAAAAGAAAAUUUUGGAGGAGCACACAGAUCAUGUAUCAAGACCUUAUGGGUGGGGCCUUUGUAAGGACUUUGGCUUUUAUUCCGAGAAGCAAUCGCACAUUGGAGAGCUUUUUCGUGGGUUUUUGCCAGGGUGUCUUUACCCUUCCUGGCUUACUAUGACUUGUAAACUUGUGUAUGUGUCUAGUCCAUACUGCUUUUUGGGCUUUCUAAGUUUUCUAUUUAAGGUAUUAGCACAGGAUUUCCUUCGACUUGAACCACACGAAGCUCGCAGGAACACUGCAGGUGUUAGUGUCUCGUGGCUGCUCAUAUCCUUACGAGCUUUCAUCUUGAAACAUGGAGCAGCAUUCAUCCCUUCAGUUUCCAGCUGCUCAUCCUCUAGCACUCUCCUCAGGGCUUUGUCCAGCUUUGUUUAGCUCUGGGUGCGUGUUGGCUGCAGCGUACCCAGAAUGGGUAUGAGGGCAAAAAGGGUAUUCUCACUUCCUUCCCUUCCUGCCGGAGCCAAGCAUUUUCUAGCCUUGGGCCACUCUAACUUGUUGGACCAGUGUUUUCAGAGAACAAUCUGCAGGGAAUCUUAGGUCCCUCUCUGGAGUUAUGACUAAGAGUAGGAGUUAUGACUAGCCCAUCCCCUAGAAAAUAGGUUAGAUUCCCUUGCCCCAAGCUGAUGACCUAAUAAAUGCACGACAACAUAGAGACACAUCCAUGAAAUGUGCCCACCUCUCUAGCCCACCUGUGUUAUUCAGGGUUCUCCAGAGAAACAGAACCAAUAGGGUGUUUAAGACAGAGAUUUAUUUGAAGAAAUUGGGGCCAGGCAUGGUGGCAAUUUGGGAGGCCAACGCAGGAGGAUCACUUGGGCUCAGCCUAGGCAACAGAGGAAGACCCCAUCUCUACAAAAAAAAAAUUAAAAUUAACCAGGCGUGGUGGUACACACCUGUGGUCCCACUUAGGAGGCCAAGGUGGGGGAUCGCUUGAGGCCAGGAGUUUGAGACUAGCCUGGGCAGCAUAGCAAGACCCCACCUCUACAAAAAAGAAGAAAAAAAUUAGUUUGUGCAGUUGUAAGGCAGACAAGUCCAAAAUCCUCAGGGCAGGCGGACAUGCUGGAGAUUCCCCCUUGAAACUUUGAGAUUUCCUGUUGUGUCCUAUUGUUAGGUAUUGGGAAGAAUGUGGUUUGCGAGAAGGCAGCAACAUCGGUGGAUGCCUUCCGGAUGGUGACAGCCUCGCGCUACUACCCGCAGCUCAUGAGCCUGGUAGGGAAUGUGCUGCGCUUCCUGCCUGCUUUCGUGCGCAUGAAGCAGCUGAUCUCGGAGCACUACGUGGGAGCAGUGAUGAUCUGCGAUGCCCGCAUCUACUCAGGCAGCCUGCUGAGCCCCAGCUAUGGCUGGAUCUGUGAUGAGCUCAUGGGCGGCGGGGGCCUGCACACCAUGGGGACCUACAUUGUGGACCUGCUGACCCACCUGACCGGCCGGAGAGCCGAGAAGGUGCACGGGCUGCUCAAGACAUUCGUGAGGCAGAACGCUGCCAUCCGUGGCAUCCGGCAUGUCACCAGCGAUGACUUCUGUUUCUUCCAGAUGCUCAUGGGUGGGGGUGUGUGUAGCACAGUGACACUCAACUUCAACAUGCCGGGCGCCUUUGUGCAUGAAGUCAUGGUGGUAGGCUCUGCAGGACGCCUCGUCGCCCGAGGAGCCGACCUCUAUGGGCAGAAGAACUCUGCCACGCAAGAGGAGCUGCUGUUGAGGGACUCGCUGGCUGUGGGUGCGGGACUGCCUGAGCAGGGGCCCCAGGACGUCCCGCUGCUGUACCUGAAGGGCAUGGUCUACAUGGUGCAGGCCUUGCGCCAGUCCUUCCAGGGGCAGGGCGACCGCCGCACCUGGGACCGCGCCCCUGUCUCCAUGGCCGCCUCCUUCGAGGAUGGGCUGUACAUGCAGAGCGUGGUGGAUGCCAUCAAGAGGUCGAGCCGAUCCGGGGAGUGGGAGGCUGUGGAGGUGCUGACGGAGGAGCCUGACACCAACCAGAACCUGUGUGAGGCACUUCAGCGGAACAACCUAUGAGCCUGCACCUGGGCUCCUUUGCCACAUGGCAAAGGGACCAGGGAGGGGAACAGGAGCCAGACAGGACAGGGGCUUGGCCCUAGCAGAGACAGUGUCUUUCAUUUAAUGAGUCUGGGUGAAGCCAGAGGUGGCCCUGGGACUUCGCCCCCUCCAGCGGCUCACCUGCUCCUCAGACUUGCAGGGCGGCAAAUGUUCCUGUUGCCAGGUUACCACAGCGUGCACAGGGCAGAGCUGCCUCUGGGCCUCCUCAUGGCGAUGCCAGUGAGUGAGACCAGGAAAGGCUUACCCUGGUGAGCCUUUCAGCCUGAUCCACAGUCCUAACAGGGUGAGAAAGCACAACAGGGGCCAGCUCGGCUGAGGCCCGAGGAGAAAUGAUGAGAAGUUUUGUUUCCUUCUUGGGCUGGGGCAUCUCAGGAACAGUGAGGGCAACAAGCUGUCCCUCAGGGACCCUCACCUGCCCUCCCAUGUGAGCAGGCCCUUCCCAGGUGGGGACUGGGGCUUCCUUUAGUAAGUGAGCUCUUGGGCUUUGGAAGUAGGACAGAGGGCCCUGAUUUGGCAAAGGAGGCAAGGGAGGGCUUUAGAACAUCUGAGAAAUGUUAAUAAAUAAUUCAGAAAAUAGG
rnacentral:sRNA from 1 species